rnacentral:rRNA from 1 species
UUUUAUGGAGAGUUUGAUCCUGGCUCAGAGUGAACGCUGGCGGCGUGCCUAAUACAUGCAAGUCGAACGGAGUAUUAAGAGAGCUUGCUCUUUUAAUACUUAGUGGCGCACGGGUGAGUAAUGUAUAGUUAAUCUGCCCUACACUGGAGGACAACAGUUAGAAAUGACUGCUAAUACUCCAUACUCCUUCUUAACAUAAGUUAAGUUGGGAAAGUUUUUUCGGUGUAGGAUGAGACUAUAUUGUAUCAGCUAGUUGGUAAGGUAAUGGCUUACCAAGGCUAUGACGCAUAACUGGUCUGAGAGGAUGAUCAGUCACACUGGAACUGAGACACGGUCCAGACUCCUACGGGAGGCAGCAGUAGGGAAUAUUGCUCAAUGGGGGAAACCCUGAAGCAGCAACGCCGCGUGGAGGAUGACACUUUUCGGAGCGUAAACUCCUUUUGUUGGGGAAGAACCAUGACGGUACCCAACGAAUAAGCACCGGCUAACUCCGUGCCAGCAGCCGCGG